GUGGGCUCACCAUUUCUCCAUCUGUAAGGAAGCACCCUUCUAUAGAAGUACAUUGCCUUGCUGAGAAUGAAAAAGAAAAUGUUAUAGUCAAGUGCUAUUUCUUUUGUGGCACCAAAACUUUAUUUAUAACAAUUUGAGGGCUCGCUGGGGAUUACAUUCCCCUCUGGGGGCGGUCUCUGGUUCUCUCUAGUGAGGCGGCGUGCCCCGCCCCCCUGUGGCGGUCUCAGCGGUGAGAAAUCAGGACCCAUGCAGUGCGAGGAAUAACCCGAGCUCUCAGCAACGCGGAAAGAAACUUGCCAGCAACCUAGCUUAAAGGAUCCUCACAUACUACCGCGACGACUCUGCACAGACCAAGGAAGGAGCAGCUGUGGGAGCCGUCUUUUAGCACGGAUACCACCCCUAGAACUUCUGGUAAACCAGUGCCAGCCUGAGGAUCACGUUCUCAUCAAAGGGUGGAAAGAAGGAAAACUUGAGCCAGCCUGAGAAGGACCCUACCUUGUGCUGCUGACCACCGAGACUGCUGUUCGUACACCGGAAAGGGGAUGGACUCAUCACACCCGAGUCAAGAAAGUGCAGCCCCCUCCAGAGACGUGGGCCAUAGUCCCAGGGAAAAGCCUACCAAACUAAAGCUAAGAAAAAUUUAACUCUCUUCUAUUCUAUUAAUCCUUCUUCUUUCCUCACUCUAUUGCUGACCAUCUAACUAUUAACAUAACCAAGUCAAUUUCACCUCAAACUAUUGCAUUUGAUGCUUGCCUUGUUAUACCCUGUGGGGGCUUGUCAAGUCAAAGACAGCUCUCUACUUCAGAAAAGUACCUCUGUCCCUCCUGACUCUCCUCAGACUGGACAUUAGUGAAUUGGGACCAUUUAAUCUGGGGAGAUUUUGAUAAAGACCCCAGUGUCAACCAGCAGUCUUGCCCCCUGAUGUAGAGCUUUUGUGCCAUAGUCGAUCCAAUGUUCUGUGACCACUGAAGAGCAAGGGUGGACUGCUCCAACUGAUUUUUGUAAUUUCCUAAAACCAUACAUUCAUUUUACUAGAGGGACAGCCCCCACCACCGCCACCCCUCUGCCAACUGUCAGCUAAACCAGUGCAAUCCUAUGCAGGUUAUUAUCUCAAACCCUCUAAGUUCUUCCCCUUUUCUAAGCCAGUUCCCUUCUUUAAGCUAGUUUUAUGGUAUGGGGGCUGAGGUUUCAGGGACAGAACCUAAUGGAUUCUUUGAAAUGCAUUUCUUUGAUCCCCUGCCACCUGCACCUUCCUCUAAGCCUUCUUCCAAAACCUCUCACAAUGAAACAAUUGCUCCUCCUCCAUCUAACGACAAGACCAAAAUAGCUAUUGUAGAAGUUAAAGACUUAAAACAAACUUUGGCAAUUAAGACAGGAUACCAAGAUGCAAAUGCCUGGUUGAAAUGGAUCAAAUAUUCCAUCUACACGUUAAAAGCAAUUGUUAUGCUUGUGCACACGGCAGUCCAGAGGCCCAGAUUGUCCUCUUUCCACUAGGGUGGUCCUCCAGUAGACCGGGUGUGGGCUGCAUGGUAGCUCUUUUCCAGGAUUCUACAGCCUGGAGUAACAAGUUGUGCCACUCUCUCUCUCUGCUAUAUCCCAAAGUCUGGCACCCUGCGGGUCAGCCCCUGAGGGCCAUCCAGCUUCCAUCUCCCAACACUAAGUUCACUUCAUGUCUCCCACAACAGGGAGAAAACUUAGCGUUCCUUGGAGACCUGAAGGGAUGCAGUGAGCUUAAGAAUUUUCAACAGCUUAUCAAUCAGUCAGCCCUUGUUCAUCCCUGAGUGGAGGUGUGGUGGUAUUGUGGUGGACCUUUACUGGACACUCUGGCCAAUAACUGGAGUGGCACUUGUGCUUUAGUCCAAUUGGCUAUCCCUUUCACCCUGGCAUUUCAUCAACCAGAGGAAGGAAAAAUAAGACAUCAUAAAGCGAGAGAAGCCCCUCAUGUGUCUUUCGACUCUCACGUCUAUUUAAAUGCAAUUGGAGUUCCAUGGGGAAUACCAGAUCAAUUUAAAUCCCGAAAUCAAAUAGCUGCAGGAUUUGAGUCAAUAUUUUGGUGGGUGACAAUUAAUAAAAAUGUAUAUUGGAUAAACUACAUCUACUACAACAACAGCAAUUUAUUAACUACACUAGAGAUGCUGUUAAAGGAAUAGCUGAGCAAUUAGGGGCUACUAGCCAGAUGGCUUGGGAAAAUAGGAUAGCCUUAGACAUGAUAUUAGCAGAAAGAGGAGGAGUUUGCAUCGUGAUUAAAACUCAACGUUGUAUCUUCAUCCCAAACAACACUGCCCCUGAUGGAAGUAUAACAAAGGCAUUGCAAGGUCUGACUGCUCUGUCCAAUGAGUUAGCCAACAACUCAGGGGAAAAUGACCCCUUUACAGGAUGGCUAGAAAAGUGGUUUGGUAGAUGGAAAAGAAUAAUAGCCUCGAUUCUUACUUCCCUCGCAGCCAUAAUGGGUGUACUUAUUCUUGUCAGGUGCUGUGUCACACCAUGCAUCUGUGGGUUGGUGCAAAGGCUCAUAAAAACGGCACUUACUAAAACCUCCCUUAACUAUCCUCCACCUUAUCCAGAGAAGCUUCUUCUUUUGGAAAAUCAAGCAGAACAACUAAGCCAAGACAUGUUAAAGAAGUUUGAAGAGAAAGCGCUAUAAGGAAAUGCAAGAAGACAAAUUGUUAGAUAUGAGUUCUAAAUUUCUCUUCCAAGAAAUUUGUCAGUAUGUUCAAUUCUUUGCCUUCUACUUUUAAACUUAACUUCCUCGUAAAGCAACAUUUUUCGAUUACCUACUCCACCCUGACUCAUUCCGAUUACCUGCUCAUUCUCCACCCUGACUCAUUCCAAUUUCCUGCUCUGCCAUAACCAGUUUUCCUGCCAAACCACUCACCCCAUCACUCUCUUUAAAUCAGCCAAUUGGAAUUAGUUUGUCUGUGCGGUCUAACCCUAGCCAAUAGGGGAAUGACACAGCAGCAGGGGCCAUGUGAGUCAGGGAUAAGAACCCCUUCCCCUACCUUGUCCAAGUGCAUGCUUGCCCUUGCUGUAUCUGAAAGGGCACACCCUUCUAUAGAAGUACAUUGCCUUGCUGAGAAUUAAAAAGAAAAUUUUAUAUUUGAGUGCUAUUUCUUUUUUUUGCUUUUCUUUUCUUUUGCAUUUUUUUUUUUUUGAGAUGGAGUCUCGCUCUGUCGCCCAGGCUGGAGUGCAGUGGCACGAUCUCGGCUCACUGCAAGCUCCGCCUCCAGGAUUCACGCCAUUCUCCUGCCUCAGCCUUCUGAGUAGCUGGGACUACAGGUGCCCGCCACCACGCCUGGCUAAUUUUUUGUAUUUUUAGUAGAGACAGGGUUUCACUGUGUUAGCCAGGAUGGUCUCGAUCUCCUGACGUCUUGAUCCACCCGCCUUGGCCUCCCAAAGUGCUGGGGUUACAGGCGUGAGCCACUGCACAGGGCCUUUGAGUGCUAUUUCUAAUGCAGCACCGAAACUUUAUUUAUAACAGUGUGCAGUGGUGUCUCCUUGUUGUUUUAAUGUUUCAGUUCCCUAAUGACAUAUGCCAUUGAACAUCUUUUCAUUUGCUUAGGUGCCACUUCUGCUCCAGUUUUAACGGCUUAGUUGAUGCUUUCUGCAGGAAAGCUCUCUCCCCCAUUGUGUCAGAUAGCCUUUGCUGUGUAAUAGAUGACUUCAAAACUUGGUAGCUGAAAAUAGCAAUCAUAUAUCUGUGGGUCACGUGGAGUUCAGCUGAUUAGGCAGGGUUGCGCUGGUUGGCCCAGCUUUGGGCUUGUGGGUCUCCUGGGUCUGCUGGGUCUGCUAGGUGACUCUGUUCCAUAGGCCUCCAACCUUCUUUAAGCGUAUCUGCCAUCAUAUGUUCUCACGACAAAGGCAGAGGCACAACAGGGUGAGUGGAAACAUGACAUUUCUUAAAGUCUGGACUCACUGAGACAUACCUGCAAUUAGUUACAGUAAGUCACAGGGCCAACUCCAAAUUCAAGGGGCAGUAUGAGGCCAUAGCAAGGAUGUGGAUGCAUGAUGGGGACGAGAGAAGAAUUAAGACCAACAAGUCAAUCCACCACAGUGCACUACUUUGAUCAUAACUUUCCUCUAACAUGCAAAUGUCCUUACCCCCAACCCAGGGUCCCAAAGGGCUUGAUUGGAUCUGCAGGAUGUCAUGGAGACCUGUAGACUAAAAUGGCAAGUCGUUUGCACCUUAAAUACCCAACACUCAGAGGCAGAACAGGAAGGAAAUAACCAAAAUAAAAACUUCCAUCUCACAUUCUCCUAUUUCUUUUCACAUGCCACUGGUCACAGCAAGUCACAUGGCCAAAACUAAAGCCAAGGGAUACUCAUGAUGAGGCCAUGACACAGUAGGGAUACAGAAUUGGGGACAAUACUUUACCCCAGUAUAAACAGAAAUGGAAGGAUGGUUGUUCUUCCAUUUAUAUCAUCUGCCUUGACCACCACUUCUGAAACGGGCUUUAGAAAAAUGCCCUUUUUUUCAUCUGAGCAAGUUUCUCAGAAUGCUUUCAGCCUGGAAAAAGCUGGGGGCUCAGAGGUCUUUUUACAUUUCAAAGAGCCACAGUCCUUUAUAUUCAAGGCCAGAAGUAUUUUUGUCAAUAAUACUUUCGAAAAAACUUUCUGAGUUUUACAAAUUAAAAACAAGGAAUUUUAAAAGUGGCAAGAAAACACAUUUUUUUUUGUUGCCCUAGAAAGGUGAGCUAAAGGAACAAAUUUUUCUUAAUGACUAUCUAAAAAAACAAUUUUGAAGAUGUGGUCAAAAAGAUUGAAUAGGAAUGUAUCCCAUACAUAUUUCCUUAUAGAUAGUUUUACGGAUAAGUAAUUCAAGAUUUGGACCAAAAUAUAUAUAAACUAAUGUAUAACAAAUAUUAGCUUGGUAGUAGUGUAUUGAAAUUGAUAUUUUAAUUUCCCCAAAUCUUUGUGAGGAUGGCAGAUUAAACAGGGUGUUUUUCAGUGAAAAUAUAAUUUGUAUAUUUAGUGGUUAAUGCAUAACUUUUGAGAAAGUCUUUUUCAAAGACUUGUACAUUGAGAAAGUGAAUGAUUAUGAUGUCUGAGUUCAACCUUUAUGCAAGUCUGAUGGUUUCUAAUUGUUCGUAUUUUAAAAAAUUGUAAUAGGAUUUAUUUGAGUUUUAAAUUGAUGGAACUUUUAAAAUUAAAGAUGAUAAAUGCUUAUUCUGUGAUUUUAGCAUUUUCCUAAGAAGAGGUUCAAAGAACUGAGUGAUGUAGACGAGACCAAAUUCCUUCCAUUUUCAUUUACUUACAUAUAAGGACACAAUUUCUCAGCACAAACAAGAAAACAGAAGGAAUAAAAUUUGGGGAAAAUCCUUUAUGAGUUUUUUUUGUCUUUAUUUUAUUUUAAGUUCUGGGGUACAUGUGCAGGAUGUGCAGAUUUGUUACAUAGGUAAAUGUGAGCCAUAGUCACCUAGGUGUUAAGCCGGGUAGGCAUUAGCUAUUUUUCCUGAUGCCAUCAUGAGUUUUAACGUAUUUUAUUCUAGUCUACCCAUGUGUCAAAAUUCAUUUGGGAUAUACCUCUCUGUGUGUCUGUCACUCCAUAGUUGCUAUUAAUUGGGGUAUAACAGGUUGUCGUGGGACUAUGCCUUUAAGUUUUCUAGGUACCUGGUUGCACAGCUGGAAGGCUUUCCUAGACCAGGGCUACUCAAAGACGUAACAUCAGCAUCACCUGGGAGCCAGUUCAAAGUACAAGCUCUUGGGCCUUUUCCUGUAACUGUGGAAUCGGAAUCUCUGGAGGUGGUGCUUGGGUAUCUGUGUUAACAAGCCUCUGGAUGAUUCUGAAGCACGCAAAAGUUUGAGAAAUGACAGGGUACUAUCUUAUUUCUCCUGGAGUCUGGUCUUUAACCUGGGGACUUGGCUUAACUGGCAGUGCCCUGGGUUGGUUGUUUCCAAGCUGUAUCUUAAUGGCCACACCUUGACUUGGUCUUUGUCUCUGCACUGUAUUUUAUUUGGGAGUCUUUUACUGGCUCGAAGGGCUGGGGAUAAAAAACAGUUCUAUUUUCCAACCCAGCUAGUUUGGACUCUGUGUAUUCCCUCUAAAUUCUGCUUGCAAGCUAACCAGUUCUCCUCUAAGCUAUACUAUAUCAUAUGUGAUGAAGUCUUCCAAUUGUAACCUUCUGCCUGGCAAUCUUCUUGCUCAAGUUCAUAGGUUCAUUAGGCACAUUUUCUAUCUUUCAGGUUAGCUCAGGUGACAAUUUUACCAGAUAUUUUGUCACUACAUAACAUAGGUCACAAUUUUCCUGCCUCCUAUAACUGUUUCCUUUCUUCAGCCUCUAUCUGCCUCCUAGGCCCAAAACCAAUACCACAUAUUUUAGGAUUUUGCUGUGGUACCAAUUUCUGUAAACGUUUGAUAUUGCUGAAUAAUAAACCACUCCAAAACUUGUGGCUUAAAACAAUAAUUACUUAUGACUGCUCACAGGUCCAUGGGUUGACUGGGGUUCUGCUGAAAGGCUGGGUGGCUCUGCUCCAGGACAUGGUGGCUGCAGUGCCACUGCAGGCCCGGGUGGCUCCACUCCUUAGAGCAGUGGGCAAGCCAGGGCAUGUUCUCAUUGCCAUGGUAAAGGUGCAAGAAGACAAGUGGAAAUAUGUGAUGCUUCUGAAGUCCUAGGCUCAGAACUGGCCUCCUCUCGCUUCUGCCCACGUGUCACUGGCCAUAGCAUGUCACAUAAUCAAGCCCAAAGCCAUGAUGAAGCCAUGACAAAGGUAUAAAUGCAGGCAAGUGUAAAGAAUUAGGAACAAUACUUUAAUCUGGAAUCCUCCCCAACAUAAAAAUAGAGUCUCUUCUACGUGUUAUCAUACAUUUUUAAACGUACACUCCCAGAACAUUUCUGUCAUUGUCUCAGAAAAGCAGACAAUUGUGCCUCCAGAACCUAGACGGUGCCUGAGGCACAGUAGAUAUUCAAUAAAUACCUGCUGAACAAGUGACUGACUGCAUAAGUGAAUGAAUGCAUUCCUGAUGGAUAGUUUGCCAAGUUAGAUCUGUAGAGACCAAGAAUUAAGGGAUGAUUUGGCUGACAAAAACAAGAAAUGGGGAAAGGAUUC
rnacentral:lncRNA from 1 species